rnacentral:rRNA from 1 species
AGAGUUUGAUCAUGGCUCAGAUUGAACGCUGGCGGCAGGCCUAACACAUGCAAGUCGAGCGGUAACAGAGAGUAGCUUGCUACUUUGCUGACGAGCGGCGGACGGGUGAGUAAUGCUUGGGAACUUGCCUUUAGGAGGGGGAUAACCACGGGAAACUGUGGCUAAUACCGCAUAACGUCUACGGACCAAAGCAGGGGAUCUUCGGACCUUGCACCUAAAGAUAGGCCCAAGUGAGAUUAGCUAGUUGGUGGGGUAAAGGCUCACCAAGGCGACGAUCUCUAGCUGUUCUGAGAGGAUGAUCAGCCACACUGGGACUGAGACACGGCCCAGACUCCUACGGGAGGCAGCAGUGGGGAAUAUUGCACAAUGGGGGAAACCCUGAUGCAGCCAUGCCGCGUGUGUGAAGAAGGCCUUCGGGUUGUAAAGCACUUUCAGUGGUGAGGAAGGUUGGUAGCUUAAUACGCUGCCAAAUUGACGUUAGCCACAGAAGAAGCACCGGCUAACUCCGUGCCAGCAGCCGCGGUAAUACGGAGGGUGCGAGCGUUAAUCGGAAUUACUGGGCGUAAAGCGUACGUAGGCGGCCUAUUAAGCAAGAUGUGAAAGCCCCGGGCUCAACCUGGGAAUUGCAUUUUGAACUGGUAGGCUCGAGUUUUGAAGAGGGUGGUAGAAUUUCCAGUGUAGCGGUGAAAUGCGUAGAUAUUGGAAGGAAUACCAGCGGCGAAGGCGGCCACCUGGUCAAAAACUGACGCUGAGGUACGAAAGCGUGGGGAGCAAACA